CAGCCGCCGCGGUAAUACGUAGGGUGCAAGCGUUAAUCGGAAUUACUGGGCGUAAAGCGUGCGCAGGCGGUUAUAUAAGUCAGAUGUGAAAUCCCCGGGCUCAACCUGGGAACUGCAUUUGAGACUGUAUGGCUAGAGUGUGUCAGAGGGGGGUAGAAUUCCACGUGUAGCAGUGAAAUGCGUAGAUAUGUGGAGGAAUACCGAUGGCGAAGGCAGCCCCCUGGGAUAACACUGACGCUCAUGCACGAAAGCGUGGGGAGCAAACAGGAUUAGAGACCCCCGUAGUCCCUGUCUCUUAUAC
rnacentral:rRNA from 1 species